rnacentral:rRNA from 1 species
UACGUAGGGGGCAAGCGUUGUCCGGAUUUAUUGGGCGUAAAGAGCGUGUAGGCGGCCAGACAGGUCAGCUGUGAAAACUCGAGGCUCAACCUCGAGACGUCGGUUGAAACCGUUUGGCUAGAGUCCGGAAGAGGAGAGUGGAAUUCCCGGUGUAGCGGUGAAAUGCGCAGAUAUCAGGAGGAACACCUGUGGUGUAGACAGCUUACUGGACCAUCACUGACGCUGAGACACGAAAGCGUGGGUAGCAAACAGG